rnacentral:rRNA from 1 species
UUGCACUGAAUGAGAUUUUAACACGAAGUGAGUGGCGGACGGGUGAGUAACACGUGGGUAACCUGCCCAGAAGCAGGGGAUAACACCUGGAAACAGAUGCUAAUACCGUAUAACAGAGAAAACCGCCUGGUUUUCUUUUAAAAGAUGGCUCUGCUAUCACUUCUGGAUGGACCCGCGGCGCAUUAGCUAGUUGGUGAGGUAACGGCUCACCAAGGCGAUGAUGCGUAGCCGACCUGAGAGGGUAAUCGGCCACAUUGGGACUGAGACACGGCCCAGACUCCUACGGGAGGCAGCAGUAGGGAAUCUUCCACAAUGGACGCAAGUCUGAUGGAGCAACGCCGCGUGAGUGAAGAAGGGUUUCGGCUCGUAAAGCUCUGUUGUUAAAGAAGAACGUGGGUGAGAGUAACUGUUCACCCAGUGACGGUAUUUAACCAGAAAGCCACGGCUAACUACGUGCCAGCAGCCGCGGUAAUACGUAGGUGGCAAGCGUUAUCCGGAUUUAUUGGGCGUAAAGCGAGCGCAGGCGGUCUUUUAAGUCUAAUGUGAAAGCCUUCGGCUCAACCGAAGAAGUGCAUUGGAAACUGGGAGACUUGAGUGCAGAAGAGGACAGUGGAACUCCAUGUGUAGCGGUGAAAUGCGUAGAUAUAUGGAAGAACACCAGUGGCGAAGGCGGCUGUCUGGUCUGUAACUGACGCUGAGGCUCGAAAGCAUGGGUAGCGAACAGGAUUAGAUACCCUGGUAGUCCAUGCCGUAAACGAUGAUUACUAAGUGUUGGAGGGUUUCCGCCCUUCAGUGCUGCAGCUAACGCAUUAAGUAAUCCGCCUGGGGAGUACGACCGCAAGGUUGAAACUCAAAAGAAUUGACGGGGGCCCGCACAAGCGGUGGAGCAUGUGGUUUAAUUCGAAGCUACGCGAAGAACCUUACCAGGUCUUGACAUCUUCUGCCAACCUAAGAGAUUAGGCGUUCCCUUCGGGGACAGAAUGACAGGUGGUGCAUGGUUGUCGUCAGCUCGUGUCGUGAGAUGUUGGGUUAAGUCCCGCAACGAGCGCAACCCUUAUUACUAGUUGCCAGCAUUCAGUUGGGCACUCUAGUGAGACUGCCGGUGACAAACCGGAGGAAGGUGGGGACGACGUCAAAUCAUCAUGCCCCUUAUGACCUGGGCUACACACGUGCUACAAUGGAUGGUACAACGAGUCGCGAAACCGCGAGGUUUAGCUAAUCUCUUAAAACCAUUCUCAGUUCGGACUGUAGGCUGCAACUCGCCUACACGAAGUCGGAAUCGCUAGUAAUCGCGGAUCAGCAUGCCGCGGUGAAUACGUUCCCGGGCCUUGUACACACCGCCCGUCACACCAUGAGAGUUUGUAACACCCAAAGCCGGUGGGGUAAC